rnacentral:rRNA from 1 species
GUGGGGAAUAUUGGGCAAUGGGCGAAAGCCUGACCCAGCAACGCCGCGUGAAGGAAGAAGGUCUUCGGAUCGUAAACUUCUAUCCUUGGUGAAGAUAAUGACGGUAGCCGAGAAGGAAGCCCCGGCUAACUACGUGCCAGCAGCCGCGGUAAUACGUAGGGGGCAAGCGUUGUCCGGAAUGAUUGGGCGUAAAGGGCGCGUAGGCGGCCUGGUAAGUCUGGAGUGAAAGUCCUGCUUUUAAGGUGGGAAGUGCUUUGGAUACUGUCGGGCUUGAGUGCAGGAGAGGUAAGUGGAAUUCCCGGUGUAGCGGUGAAAUGCGUAGAGAUCGGGAGGAACACCAGUGGCGAAGGCGACUUACUGGACUAUAACUGACGCUGAGGCGCGAAAGUGUGGGGAGCAAACAGGAUUAGAAACCCGGGUAGUCC